rnacentral:rRNA from 1 species
UACGAAGGGUGCAAGCGUUGUUCGGAAUUACUGGGCGUAAAGAGCGCGUAGGCGGUCGAUUAAGUCAAGCGUGAAAGCCCUGGGCUCAACCCGGGAAUUGCGUUUGAUACUGAUCGGCUUGAGAUUCAGAGAGGUGAGUGGAAUUCCUAGUGUAGCAGUGAAAUGCGUAGAUAUUAGGAGGAACAUCAGUGGCGAAGGCGGCUCACUGGCUGAAUACUGACGCUAAGGCGCGAAAGCGUGGGGAGCAAACAGG